AGGUGGCCGCUCUGGGUGACCCUUUUCCUCGGGGUCUCUCUCGCCGUCGACCGAAGCAACUUCAAGACCUGCGACCAGAGCGGCUUCUGCAGGCGCCAGCGCCGGAUCCAGCCGGGAAAUUCCCCGUUCCGGGCCCUCCUGGAGUCGCUGGAGCUCGGGCAGGACUCGGCCCGGGUGCAGCUGGUCAAUGAGGUGACACAGGUCCCCCUGCUCCUGGAGA